AUUGAACGCUGGCGGCAGGCUUAACACAUGCAAGUCGAGCGGAGAGAAGUAGCUUGCUACUGAUCUUAGCGGCGGACGGGUGAGUAAUACUUAGGAAUCUGGCUAUUAGUGGGGGACAACAUUUCGAAAGGGAUGCUAAUACCGCAUACGUCCUACGGGAGAAAGCAGGGGAUCAGUAAUGACCUUGCGCUAAUAGAUGAGCCUAAGUCGGAUUAGCUAGUUGGUGGGGUAAAGGCCUACCAAGGCGACGAUCUGUAGCGGGUCUGAGAGGAUGAUCCGCCACACUGGGACUGAGACACGGCUCAGACUCCUACGGGAGGUAGCAGUGGGGAAUAUUGGACAAUGGGGGGAACCCUGAUCCAGCCAUGCCGCGUGUGUGAAGAAGGCCUUAUGGUUGUAAAGCACUUUAAGCGAGGAGGAGGGUACUGGUAUUAAUACUACCAGCUACUGGACGUUACUCGCAGAAUAAGCACCGGCUAACUCUGUGCCAGCCGCCGCAGUAAAAC
rnacentral:rRNA from 1 species